rnacentral:rRNA from 1 species
GUUUGAUCAUGGCUCAGAUUGAACGCUGGCGGCAGGCUAACACAUGCAAGUCGAGCGGCACGGAAAGUAGCUUGCUACUUUUGCCGGCGAGCGGCGGACGGGUGAGUACAUGCCUGGGGAUCUGCCCAGUCGAGGGGGAUAACAGUUGGAAACGACUGCUAAUACCGCAUACGCCCUACGGGGAAAGGAGGGGACCUUCGGGCUUUCGCGAUUGGAUGAACCCAGGUGGGAUUAGCUAGUUGGUGGGGUAAUGGCUCACCAAGGCGACGAUCCCUAGCUGGUCUGAGAGGAUGAUCAGCCACACUGGAACUGAGACACGGUCCAGACUCCUACGGGAGGCAGCAGUGGGGAAUAUUGCACAAUGGGGGAAACCUGAUGCAGCCAUGCCGCGUGUGUGAAGAAGGCUUCGGGUUGUAAAGCACUUUCAGCGAGGAGGAAAGGUUGGUCGCUAAUAACGGCCAACUGUGACGUUACUCGCAGAAGAAAGCACCGGCUAACUCCGUGCCAGCAGCCGCGGUAAUACGGAGGUGCAAAGCGUUAAUCGGAUUACUGGGCGUAAAGCGCACGCAGGCGGUUGGAUAAGUUAGAUGUGAAGCCCGGGCUCAACCUGGGAUUGCAUUUAAAACUGUCAGCUAGAGUCUUGUAGAGG